AUUUCAUUUCCAUUUAGCUGUUCAGGUCUGUCUGUUUCCGUUCCCUGUUGUCUGCUGUGUGGGGUAAGCUGUCUGUUCACACUCACCUGUUGUGGUAAUUGGCCUCACUUGUGCCACCUGCUGCUCCCUGUGUAUAUAUACCCCUGUCCCUCACGCAGGCCUGGUUGGCUCAUUGUGACGGUGUCGUGUCAUUGUGUAGCGUCGCUGUUCUGUAGCAGUUCGUGAGUUUCCUGUUCCUGUGUUUCGUCGUGUUCCCUCGUGUUCCGUGUUACAAAGAGAGUUCCAUACCAGGUAGUUCUUCCUGUUUUGUUAAUUUAGACAUUGUUAAUAAAACUUUUCCCUGCCCCAGUACCGCAUUUGGGCCCUACCUGCUUCCUGCAAUGUCGUUGCCCACACGUGGCAGCUACUGCUAACGGGUUUUCGCAUGAUUCCUGGAUGGAAAGAACAUCAGCUUCAACUUCACCUAUCAAAGGUCAAGUCCAUCAUAAUGAAUUUGAUUCUACGAUGAAGAUGAAGAGUCAGACUCCUGUUAAUAGAGGACAAGACAUCAACAAAGUGGCAGCGUGUUAUCUUCAAAGCCAGCCGUCAGAAAUACUUGGCCAUAGAUGACUGCCGAAACCCGGGGUUGAACCAGGGACAUUCAGGUCUUCAGUCUGACGCUCUCCCAACUGAGCUAUUUCGGCUACCUGUAAGUAUCUUGUACUUAUUCGUUUCCACCAUAUACCAAUAUGUUUGAUUAGAGCAGUGGUUCUCAAACUGUGGUACAUGUACGUCACAUAAAUUGAACAUUUUGUCCCACGUAUGUAACGUCGAAUGACAAUUCGACAUUACUUAA